rnacentral:misc_RNA from 1 species
GAUGAAGAACGUAGCGAAAUGCGAUAAGUAAUGCGAAUUGCAGAAUUCCGUGAGUCAUCGAAUCUUUGAACGCACAUUGCGCCCGCCAGUAUUCUGGCGGGCAUGCCUGUUCGAGCGUCAUUUCAACCAUCAAGCCCCCGGCUUGUGUUGGGGACCUGCGGCUGCCGCAGGCCCUGAAAAGCAGUGGCGGGCUCGCUGUCACACCGAGCGUAGUAGCAUACAUCUCGCUCUGGGCGUGCUGCGGGUUCCGGCCGUUAAACCACCUUCAUAACCCAAGGUUGACCUCGGAUCAGGUAGGAAGACCCGCUGAACUUAAGCAUAUCAAUAAGCGGAGA